UUUAGCCUCUUUGCUGCCUCAAAUCGGCUCUUGGGGCGGAGCCAGUGAAUGAUCUGGUGCUCUGCUUUAAGCCACGACAGUUAAAGUGCAUUAAUUCUAUAGUGAAGACGAGGCAUAGCCAAACUUGGGUCCUCCAGGUGUUUUGGACUUCAACUCCCCCCAUUCCUAACAGCCUCAGGCUGAGGGGGAAAAGAAAGGGGCCUGAGGCUUUUAGGAAUGGGGGGAGUUGAAGUCCAAAACACCUGGAGGGCCCAGGUUUGCCCAUGCCUGGUGUAGAAGCAUCCCAAGUCACCCACUGCCAGCUCAGCUCUUGUAGAUUCAGGGCUGCGUCUCCCUCCAUUGAGUCCAUCCUUCGGGAAUGUGUCGUCCUCCUUUCCUGCUGCCUUCGACCUUCAUCAAGCAUUAGGAUCUUUCCAAGGGAGCCAUCUCUUCUCAUCAUAUGACUAAAGUCAAACAGUGCCUUUAUUGGUGCAUUUCCCCUGAAGUCUUACUAAUAUUAUUGAAGGCUUUCGUGGUCCUCACAGGCGACAUUGGCAGGGGCGAGAUUUUUUUUUUCUUCCCCGUGUCAGGAGCAACCUGAGUCGCUUCUGGUGUGAGAGAAUUGGCCAUCUGCAAGGACGUUGCCCAGGGGACGCCCAGAUGUUUUGAUGUUUUUACCAUCCUUAUGGGAGGCUUCUCUCAUGUCCCUGCAUGGAGCUGGAGCUGAUAGAGGGAGCUCUCCCCGGGUGGGAUUCGAAUCUGGCAGCCUUCAGGGACCACCAAACGCAGCACUCAAACACAAAUCAAAGAACAUGAAAGGCCCUGCAGACUAACUCAACCAGAGAUGUCAGCCAUUGCAAGGCACUUGAUGAACCAACCUGGACACAGCAUAUUGAGAACACAGAAAUGCUGGACCACUGUAACACUACACAGAGAAGCCAUUGAAAUCCAUAAGCAGGUGGACAAUUUCAACGGAUGCCCAUCAUAGAUGUGGGCGAAACGUCAGGAAAGAAUGCUUCUGGAAUAUGACCAUACAGCCCAGAAAACUCACAGUAACUUACUGAUAUUGUUUGGGCAGACAUUACAUUAUAUCCUUUAACUUCUUUUGCUCAUCCCCCCCCCCCCCCCUUUGAUUUUCAUUUCCUAAGUAAAACACUGGCUUCCUGUACUUCAGCUUCCUUAUACUCCCAUUUCAUGUCUGACUGUGGAUGUACCCAUACUUGCAAUAUAUAUUAUGUCCUUAUCUCUGUCUCAGGUUUAAACAUAAGUUUGCUCUUGGUUGUGACGUGAAAGCUUUGUGGGCCUCACCUACAUUGCCAUAUAAUGGAGUUUGAAACUGCAUCAUAUGGUCAAGGUAGACUCAUUUAAUGCAGUUCAAUACAGCUAAAAUGCAUUAUGAGUCCAGACUGACCAUAUAAUGCAGUAGCAAACUGCAUUAUAUGGCAGUGUAGACAGGGACCCUAGAUACUUGAGUACAUGAAUGUGAUCUUAGAAAAACACAAUUUGUUUCUUGUGGGAAAAAACAAGUUAUAGAAAUGGGUGUAACACGAUUUUUGUUCCUGGGUUAUGUCAUUUCUGAAUUGGUUCUAUCAUAAAAACAUGGAAAAGGUUUAUUAGCACAUUUUGCUAUAGUUUUUCAAUGAAUAUCUCAUUGAGUCUCAACCAAGUCAACAUCGUUUGUGGCAGCCACAAAAAUGAAGUUUCUGGAGUAUAACAACUACUUUCAAAGUAAGUACCACACAAUUAAACGGAUUAAGCCUCCGACCAUUAAUAGCCCCGGCUUGCUGUUGACCUAUGCAGCCCCGAAAGACAGUUGCACCUGUCAAUUAGGGAAAUUUAGGGACGCUAAUUUACAACACCAUAAAAAAAACUGCCAGCAAAACACGAGGAAAGGAGUGAGGAAGUACAGCCACCACUGGACGGUGAAGCAACAGCUCCCCCUGUGGCCGGAAUCGUGAAGCUGGAAAAAUGUUAAAAAUGCCUCUGAGUCUGUCUAAUGUAUGUUGUUUGUCUAUUGGUAUUGAAUGUUUGCCAUAUAUGUGUUCAUUGUAAUCCGCCCUGAGUCCCCUUCGAGGUGAGAAGGGCGGAAUAUAAAUACUGUAAAUAAAUAAAUAAAUAAAUAAAUAAAACUUUCAAACCA